rnacentral:rRNA from 1 species
UACGAAGGGUGCAAGCGUUAGUCGGAAUUACUGGGCGUAAAGCGUGCGUAGGCGGUCUCUUAAGUCCGUUGUGAAAGCCCUGGGCUCAACCUGGGAACUGCAGUGGAUACUGAGAAGCUAGAGUGUGUCAGAGGAUGGUGGAAUUCCCGGUGUAGCGGUGAAAUGCGUAGAGAUCGGGAGGAACACCUGUGGCGAAAGCGGCUCACUGGACCAUAACUGACGCUGAUGCACGAAAGCUGGGGGAGCAAACAGG